rnacentral:rRNA from 1 species
UACGGGGGGUGCGAGCGUUGUCCGGAAUCAUUGGGCGUAAAGAGCGCGUAGGCGGCCAGAUAAGUCCGGUGUGAAAGUCAAAGGCUCAACCUUUGAAUGCCGCUGGAAACUGUCUGGCUAGAGUCCGGGAGGGGCGAGUGGAAUUCCUGGUGUAGCGGUGAAAUGCGCAGAUAUCAGGAGGAACACCAAUGGCGAAGGCAGCUCGCUGGAACGGUACUGACGCUGAGGCGCGAAAGCGUGGGGAGCAAACAGG